AGAGUUUGAUCMUGGCUCAGAACAAACGCUGGCGGCGUGUCUUAAGCAUGCAAAGUCGAGCGGCAAAGGGCAGCAAUGCCCCUAGAGCGGCGGACUGGUGAGUAACGCGUGGGUGAUCUACCUUGGGCAUGGGGAUAGCCAUUAGAAAUAGUGGGUAAUACCGAAUACGUUCGUUACCGUGAGGGUAACGAGGAAAGGCGCUACGGCGCCGGCCUGGAGAUGAGCUUGCGUCCGAUUAGCUAGUUGGUGAGGUAAUGGCCCACCAAGGCGAUGAUCGGUAGCCGGCCUGAGAGGGUGUACGGCCACACUGGGACUGAGAUACGGCCCAGACUCCUACGGGAGGCAGCAGCUAAGAAUAUUCCGCAAUGGACGAAAGUCUGACGGAGCGACGCCGCGUGGAUGAUGAAGGCCGAAAGGUUGUAAAGUCCUUUUGCUGGGGAAGAAUAACCAUGGGAGGGGAAUGCCCGUGGGGAUGACAUGAACCGGCGAAUAAAGCCCCGGCUAACUACGUGCCAGCCGCCGCGGUAAUA
rnacentral:rRNA from 1 species